rnacentral:rRNA from 1 species
UACGUAGGGGGCGAGCGUUGUCCGGAGUUACUGGGCGUAAAGCGCACGCAGGCGGUCUGCUAAGUUUGGAGUGACAGUUGGUGGCUUAACUGCCAAAGUGCUUCGAAAACUGACAGACUUGAGGGCUUCAGAGGGACACGGAAUUCCGGGUGGAGUGGUGAAAUGCGUAGAGAUCCGGAGGAACACCAAAGGCGAAGGCAGUGUCCUGGGGAGUCCCUGACGCUCAGGUGCGAAAGCCAGGGGAGCGAACGGG